rnacentral:rRNA from 1 species
GAUCCUGGCUCAGAACGAACGCUGGCGGCAGGCUUAACACAUGCAAGUCGAGCGCCCCGCAAGGGGAGCGGCAGACGGGUGAGUAACGCGUGGGAAUCUACCCAUCUCUACGGAAUAACGCAUGGAAACGUGUGCUAAUACCGUAUACGUCCUUUUGGAGAAAGAUUUAUCGGAGAUGGAUGAGCCCGCGUUGGAUUAGCUAGUUGGUGGGGUAAAGGCCUACCAAGGCGACGAUCCAUAGCUGGU